rnacentral:pre_miRNA from 1 species
UAUUAAAAAAAUUUAUUUAUUUUUACUAUUAAAAACUAGCAUAGCUAAAAGAGUAAUUAAGCAAUGGCAUAUGGUGUGUCCCAUAUACCUCAUAUUGAAAUAUAGGGAUCAAUUUUUAAUAUUAAAAAUAGAUGAAUUUUUUAAUA